AUUGGUUCCAUAUUGAGAUUAAUGGUGAUAUUAUUGGGUCGUUCACUAAGUAAUUUCUUUUUAAUUCUAAAUACGUGUUUUUUUUUUAAGUUAAACUUCUUAUACGACUUCGGAAAAGGUUGCGACAAUUGUUGAACAAUUAACGCGAGAGAGAGAGAGAGAGAGAGAUUGAAUGAGAGUAAAGCAGCGAACUUAAAGCACUUGCAUUGCUUUUGCUAUUUGUGCAAUUCUUGUUUUUGUAGAACAAUGUUUAAAUUUUUGGUUGGUGACAUAUUCACAUGUGUACGCAUAUGUAUGAUUGUAUGCUUGCGCAUUAUUUUUCUUUCGUUUCUGUUUAAUUUCUGCGAAUUCUCAACUAUUUUGUGUGACUUUUGAUUGAAAUACUCUGCGUUAGCCGUUGAAAAGUUAAGACUCCUCAGGAUAAUUUCUGUAGACAGUGUUUAUUUACUAAUUAAUUCGUGUUCUAUAUAAUAUUGACGUACUAUUUGUAGUAUUAGUACACAGUGAAUAGUGAUUCAAGUGAUUCAAACCGUUGUCAACCGCAGAAGCUGAACCAUUACUGACAUUCCUCAGAGAGAAAUUUUCAUUAGAAAUUAUCAAUGGAAGAAAUGAUCAUACGACAAAAGGAGGUACGACUAUUGAUGUGGUAUUCGGGAGAAAUAUAGAUAAAAUAGAUAUAUCAAUCCGUCAGAACCCAGAAAUGAUAAUUUAUUUGGACUUUGCUUUAUAAAAUGUGCAUAAUAAAUUUAAAAAAUGUGA